rfam:Bacillus sp. FJAT-27231 Scaffold1, whole genome shotgun sequence.
UUCUUAUCAAGAGAAGCUGAGGGGACUGGCCCUGUGAAGCUUCAGCAACCAGCCGCUAGCGGGCCUAGGUGCUAAAUCCAGCAAACUGCUUUGUCAGUUUGAGAGAUAAGAA